rnacentral:rRNA from 1 species
UACGUAGGUGGCGAGCGUUGUCCGGAUUUACUGGGCGUAAAGAGCUCGUAGGCGGUUUGUCGCGUCUGCUGUGAAAACUCGGGGCUUAACUCCGGGCCUGCAGUGGGUACGGGCAGACUAGAGUGCGGUAGGGGAGACUGGAAUUCCUGGUGUAGCGGUGAAAUGCGCAGAUAUCAGGAGGAACACCGGUGGCGAAGGCGGGUCUCUGGGCCGUAACUGACGCUGAGGAGCGAAAGCGUGGGGAGCGAACAGG